rnacentral:rRNA from 1 species
GGUAGCAGCCGGAAACCGGGACGUGAUAAUAACCGCCAUAAGACGCACGAAUGUCGCAUGACAUGGUGUGAAAAACUCCGGUGGUAUAGGAUGGACCCGCGUCUGAUUAGCCAGUUGGUGGGGUAAAAGCCUACCAAAGCGAAGAUCAGUAGCCGAGUUGAGAGACUGACCGGCCACAUUGGGACUGAGACACGGCCCAGACUCCUACGGGAGGCAGCAGAC